rnacentral:tRNA from 1 species
AGCAUCACAUAUUUUGGCUCAGCGGUAGAGCAUCUGCUUUGGAUGCAGAAGGUUCCAGGUCUGUCAUGGCCAACCCCUGUUUGAUCCUGCCA